rnacentral:lncRNA from 1 species
CUAGGACGAAUGGCUUGUCUCUGUAACCAAGAUUCUUGAGAUCAACUGUUGUCAUUCCGUACAACUGGUCUACCUUUACCCCUUCUCCAUUCAUGUUCACCCAACUACACCGAAACAAAGGGACCUUAAAAGUAGGUCCGUAGUCAAGUUCCCAUAUCUCCUCUAUGUAACCAUAGUAUGUGUCCUUUUUCCCAUUCUCG